rnacentral:lncRNA from 1 species
GUUUGACUCCAUUGUUUUAGAACUCUGUGUACCUAGGAUGUCUAGUUGGGAUUGAUAGCUUCAUUUUUAUGUGCGAACCAUUCUGGACAAUUAACAUGUGAUAUUCAGAAAAUUUAGUGGGUCGGGAUCUAACAAAUGGUAGUUAACACUUGUGAAUUUGAGUAGUGCACCUAGAACUCAAGCGGUACCCAAUUGUGGUGGAGGUAUAGGUAUUCUGAGACGUCACAUUUACAUUUGCCUUAAGGGUUGCUAUGUUUUAGAGUAUCUUUUAACUUAAAA